AUCAUGAGGAGGAACUCAAGGAGAUUGAUGAUAGGAUCCACGGCGCCAAUAUGUACUUACAAUGAAUGCAGAGGGUGCAAGUACAGGUGCAGAGCCGAGCAAGUGCCGGUACAGGGGAAUGACCCAAUACCACUGCAGAUGUGUUUGUUAUAGGCAUUUGUCAGUUCAUGGGCGUCAAAUGUUAGCUGUUCUUGUGCGCUCUUUUGAGUUUUGAACGAUGGCAGGAAAAACAAAAUAUCAUGAAUUUGUGAAUUUCUUUAUUUCCAUGCACUCUGUUCUCACCCAUAUUGAUUAAGCUGCCAAAUUCUCUUUGGAAACUGCAACUCCAUACGACUGAAAUCAAAGCAUAAGUUCAGG